rnacentral:rRNA from 1 species
CUACGGGGCGCUGCAGUCGCGGAACUUUUACAAUGCACGCAAGUGUGAUAAAGCAAGCCAAAGUGUUUUUCUUUUUGAAAAACUUUUUCUUACUGUAAAAAAGUAGGAGAAUAAGGACUGGGAAAGACCGGUGCCAGCCGCCGCGGUAAUACCGGCAGUUCAAGUUGCAUCCCUUUUUAUUGGGUCUAAAACAUCCGUAGCUUGUCGUUUAAGUCUCUUGUGAAAUCUUACGUCUCAAGCGUGAGGCUUGCGGGAGAUACUGAACGACUAGAGAUCGGUAGACGUAAGGAGUACGCCGGGGGGAGCGGUUAAAUGUGUUAAUCCUCGGUGGACUAACGAUGAGCGAAGGCACCUUACGAGGACGAAUCUGACAGUGAGGGAUGAAGGCCAGGGGCGCAAAACGGAUUAGAUACCCCGGUAGUC